AUAAAUUUUUUUAGAGACGGAGUCUUGCCACGUUGCCCAGGCUGGUCUUGAACUUCUGGGCUCAAGAGAUCCUCUCACCGUGGCUUCCCAAAGUGCUGGGAUUACAGACGUGACUCACCGUGCCUGGCAUGAAGGUGCUAUUUCUGACCUCCUGAGUGUGACAAGUAGUUCUCUUGGAUUUUCCAGCUCUUUCUUGUGAAGUCUGGUGCCCACCCUUCUCCUGGUUGGCAUUCUCGUCUAUGCUGCCAGGAGGGGCCUUAUGGGAUCCAGGCGCAGUAGACGAGGAGGGGGCCUCUUCGGUGUUGGUGAGACAGCAGCCAAGAUCUUAAAAAGCAACAUCGAUGUGUUAUUUGCAGACGUAGCUGGGUGCGAAGAAUCAAAUUGGAAAUUAUGGAAUUUGUGAAUUUCCUGAAGAAUCCCAAGCAGUAUCAGGACUUAGGAGCAAAAAUUCCAAAGGGAGCCAUGCUCACUGGUCCUCCUGGUACCGGCAAGACCCUUCUUGCCAAAGCAACUGCAGGGGAGGCCACUGUGCCCUUCAUCACUGUGAACGGGUCUGAGUUCCUGGAAAUGUUUAUUGGCGUUGGGCCAGCAAGGGGUUCAACUCUGCCACCAACGUCGUGGUGUUGGCUGGCACCAACCGCCCUGACGUCCUGGACCCGGCCCUCAUGCGGCCUGGCCGGUUUCAUCGCCAGAUUUACACUGGUCCCCCUUACAUUAAAGGCAGGUCCUCCAUCUUUAAGGUCCACCUGCGCCCACUGAAGCUGGACAAGAGCCUCAAUAAGGACACCCUGGCGAGGAAGCUGGCAGUGCUCACCCCAGGCUUCCCUGGUGUCCAUCAUACCCCAGGGCAAGGGGCUCCGCUACGCACAGUACCUGCCCCGGGAGCAGCAGCUCUACACCCAGGAGCAGCUCUUCGACCGCACGUGCAUGAUGCUCGGGGGCCGGGUAGCCGAGCAGCUGUGCUCCGGGUAGAUCACUAUGGGGGCUCAGGACGACCUGAGGAAGGUCACCCAGAGUGCCUACGCCCAGGUUGUGCAGUUUGGGGUGAGUGAGAAGCUGGGCCAGGUGUCCUUCGACUUUUCCCGACACGGCAAGACCCUGGUGGAGAAGCUGUACGGCGAGGCAAGCGCCCAGCUCCUUGAUGACGAGGUCCGGCACCUCGUCAGUGCCACCUACAGGUGCACCCUGGACCUGCUGACACGGUGCCGGGAGCAUGUGGAGAAGGUGGGCCAGCGGCUCCUGGAGAAGGAAGUACUGGAGAAGGCAGACAUGGUGGAGCUGCUGGGCCCCCGGCCCUUCUCGGAGAAGUCUACCUAUGAGGAGUUUGUA
ensembl:lncRNA AFG3L1P AFG3 like matrix AAA peptidase subunit 1, pseudogene